rnacentral:misc_RNA from 1 species
GAUGAAGAACGCAGUGAAAUGCGAUAAGUAGUGUGAAUUGCAGAAUUCAGUGAAUCAUCGAAUCUUUGAACGCACAUUGCGCCCUUUGGUAUUCCUUAGGGCAUGCCUGUUCGAGCGUCAUUUAAACCUUCAAGCUAAGCUUGGUGUUGGGUGACUGUCCGCUUCACGGCGGACUCGCCUCAAAAUUAUUGGCGGCCGGUACAUUGGCUUCGAGCGCAGCAGAAACGCGAACUCGGGCCCGUCGUAUUGGCUCCCAGAAGCUAUCUUCACAAUUUUGACCUCGGAUCAGGUAGGGAUACCCGCUGAACUUAAGCAUAUCAAUAAGCGGAGGA